rnacentral:lncRNA from 1 species
GGCAACAAGACCAUAUUAUCACAUUAUAUAGUCAUUUUUUGAGAACGGAAAUCAUCUUAACCUAUUCAAAAUAAUUUCUACAAAAGUAUUCAGAAAAGGAUGAUGCUAAAACAAACUAUAGAAAAUUCAGGGAGGUAUUUUUAUCCCUGAUUUAAUCAUACUAAUGAAUAAUCUUAUUCUUGUUUUAUUAUAUUGAAUUUCAGAUUGAUAAAUUCAGAAUUGGUUUAUAUGAAAAACCUCAAUGUCCAAGUUUUACAUCUUCCCUAGGAAAUGGUUCAUAGUAUAAUACAUUUAAUUAUCAGGCGUGCAUCACCCGCCCUCUUGUCGUUGGAAAGAUGAGGAAAGGUGAACAGUGUAUGUCCACCUUUGCAACACAGCUUGUUUUAAUAAUCAGAUCAGGUACUUGAAGAAAGAGAUUAAUGACAGACUUCGGCUGCUAUGAAAACUUGUAAGGAAGUGAUGGCCCAAGCUUGCCUGGCUUGCCCAAAUGUGAGCAAUUAAGCCAAGUUGCUUCAGA